rnacentral:rRNA from 1 species
GGGGAAUAUUGCACAAUGGGCGCAAGCCUGAUGCAGCAACGCCGCGCGAAGGAUGACGGUUUUCGGAUUGUAAACUUCUUUUCUUAGUGACGAAGACAGUGACGGUAGCUAAGGAAUAAGCAUCGGCUAACUACGUGCCAGCAGCCGCGGUAAUACGUAGGAUGCAAGCGUUAUCCGGAUUUACUGGGUGUAAAGGGAGCGCAGGCGGGACUGCAAGUUGGAUGUGAAAUACCGUGGCUUAACCACGGAACUGCAUCCAAAACUGUAGUUCUUGAGUGAAGUAGAGGCAAGCGGAAUUCCGAGUGUAGCGGUGAAAUGCGUAGAUAUUCGGAGGAACACCAGUGGCGAAGGCGGCUUGCUGGGCUUUAACUGACGCUGAGGCUCGAAAGUGUGGGGAGCAAACAGGAUUAGAUACCCUGGUAGUCCACACUGUAAACGAUGAUAGCUAGGUGUGGGGGGUCUGACCCCUUCCGUGCCGGAGUUAACGCAAUAAGCUAUCCACCUGGGGAGUACGACCGCAAGGUUGAAACUCAAAGGAAUUGACGGGGGCCCGCACAAGCAGUGGAUUAUGUGGUUUAAUUCGAAGCAACGCGAAGAACCUUACCAGGCCUUGACAUCCGACUAACGAGAUAGAGAUAUGUCAGGUGCCCUUCGGGGAAAGUCGAGACAGGUGGUGCAUGGUUGUCGUCAGCUCGUGUCGUGAGAUGUUGGGUUAAGUCCCGCAACGAGCGCAACCCCUGCCAUUAGUUGCUACGCAAGAGCACUCUAAUGGGACCGCUACCGACAAGGUGGAGGAAGGUGGGGACGACGUCAAAUCAUCAUGCCCCUUAUGACCUGGGCUACACACGUAAUACAAUGGCCGUUAACAGAGGGAAGCAAAGCGGUGACGCAGAGCAAAACCCUAAAAACGGUCCCAGUUCGGACUGUAGGCUGCAACCCGCCUACACGAAGUUGGAAUUGCUAGUAAUCGCGGAUCAGCAUGCCGCGGUGAAUACGUUCCCG